UGAAAUCAUUCCAAUGACAACAAGUCGUCCAUAGACAGCCAAUGCAUUCAAGCAGAUGUCAAACAUCUCACCACCAACGGACUCAUAGACAAUAUCGACACCUUUAGGGAACUCUUUCUUUAAGACCUGGUGCAGCCAUAUAUAUACAGAACUAGUUAGAAAAGUAACUCCAGCUGAAACUAAUAUAUCAUGGAAACCCAGAAAAUCAGACUAGAGCAAACAUUUAAGAACUUGUUACAAAAAGGAAGCUUAAGCAACAUAAAAAGAGUAGCCACUCUGGAAUUAGACAACCAAGCUAAUACUCAUGUUUUGCUGCUAAUAUAUCUCCAUGGAAAUGGUCAACUUGCACACCUCCACCCACUACAAUGUUCAAAAUUCUUUGUGGACAACCUAAUAUGGAGGCCCAACAUUAGGACACACAAUAACAUGAAUGGGCCGAACUCUGACACUAUGUGAAGAGAUGGACCUUGAGCUUAACUCAACCCAAAAAACUAGCUCAUGAGAUGAGGAUGGCCCAAGACCAUAUAAGGAGACAAACAACCCAUCCAUCUACCAAUAUGGGACACUUAACACUUUGCACCAGUGAGAUGACACCAUCAAUUGAUCAAUCAACCACGCCUCAAUCUCAUAAUUGGGGUUGGCUACAAGAAUUGUUAUAUAUAUUUCGCUCUAUUCACGUCCAUUUCACUCAGCUACGGCAUAGUUUAUCUCUUAAGGCAAAUUAGUGGUUCUAUAAACCUAAAAGUUCUCGAAAGGCCCCCAUUUUGGAACUCUUUCCCCAUAAAAAGUUUGUUUGAUAUUUAUAAGAACUACCCUCGAGAGCAUGCUUUUCCACAAAGCAUUCUGAGGUAUCUAUUCAUAAUGCAUUGCAAUAACAUUUGAAUGACAACGAACAAUAUGAUGUUUAUCCAAGACAGCAGCAUACAAGUUAUAAGAACAUAGUAAGCCAGUGAGUUUAAGAAACUUAACAGCUUUUAUGUUUUCUACUUUGUAGUCAAUGACACGAUCAACUCCCAAAUCCUUAAGAAGCUUGGCCUUUUCAGUGCCUCCACAAGUUGCAACCACCGUGUUUCCAGAUAAUUUUGCAAGCU
rnacentral:lncRNA from 1 species